GGCGAACGGUUGAGUAACAAGUGGGCAACCUGCCCCUAGCUCUGGGACAACUCCUCGAAAGAGGGGCUAAUACCGGAUAUGACUGCAGAAGGCAUUUUCUGUGGUGGAAAGUUUUUCGGCUAGGGAUGGGCCCGCGGCCUAUCAGCUUGUUGGUGGGGUAAUGGCCUACCAAGGCGACGACGGGUAGCCGGCCUGAGAGGGCGACCGGCCACACUGGGACUGAGACACGGCCCAGACUCCUACGGGAGGCAGCAGUGGGGAAUAUUGCGCAAUGGGCGAAAGCCUGACGCAGCGACGCCGCGUGAGGGAUGACGGCCUUCGGGUUGUAAACCUCUUUCAGCAGGGACGAAGCGAGAGUGACGGUACCUGCAGAAGAAGCACCGGCCAACUACGUGCCAGCAGCCGCGGUAAUACGUAGGGUGCGAGCGUUGUCCGGAAUUACUGGGCGUAAAGAGCUCGUAGGCGGUUUGUCACGUCGGCUGUGAAAACCCAUCGCUCAACGGUGGGCUUGCAGUCGAUACGGGCUGACUUGAGUACUGCAGGGGAGACUGGAAUUCCUGGUGUAGCGGUGAAAUGCGCAGAUAUCAGGAGGAACACCGGUGGCGAAGGCGGGUCUCUGGGCAGUAACUGACGCUGAGGAGCGAAAGCGUGGGUAGCAAACAGGAUUAGAUACCCUGGUAGUCCACGCCGUAAACGGUGGGUGCUAGGUGUGGGUUUCCUUCCACGGGAUCCGUGCCGUAGCUAACGCAUUAAGCACCCCGCCUGGGGAGUACGGCCGCAAGGCUAAAACUCAAAUGAAUUGACGGGGGCCUGCACAAGCGGUGGAGCAUGUGGGUUUAA
rnacentral:rRNA from 1 species